CUGCAUAAGAAAAGUUUCUCCAAAUGAGCUCAUCCUGGGCUGAUAUGCUACAGGCCAUGACAUCACAGAGCACUCUGUGCUGAUCCAUGAGUACUACAGCUGGGAAGCCCCCAACCCCAUCCACCUCACUGUGGACACAAGUCUCCAGAACGGCAGCAUGAGCAUCAAAGCCUGUGUCAGCACUUUAAUGGAUGUCCCCUGGAGGACCAUGAGAGUGAUGCUCACAACUCUGAAAGUGAAAUAUGCAUACUAUGACACUGAACGAAUUGGAGUUGACCUGAUUAUGAAGACCUGCUUUAGCCCCAAACGAGUGAUUGGACUCUCAAGUGACUUGCAGCAAGUAGGAGGGGCAUCAGCUCGCAUCCGGGAUGCCCUGAGCACGAUGUUGCUGCACGCAGAGGAUGUACUGUCUGGAAAGGUGUCAGCUGACAAUACUGUGGGCCGAUUCCUGAUGAGCCUGGUUAACCAAGUACCCAAAAUAGUUCCUGAUGACUUUGAGACCAUGCUCAACAGCAACAUCAAUGACCUGCUGAUGGUGACCUACCUGGCCAACCUCACUCAGUCACAGAUUGCCCUCAAUGAGAAACUUGUAAACCUGUGAAUGGGCCCCAGGCAGUAUACCUGCCGGUCUGGGUCUCAACCCCAGGACCCAGAAGUGAAGGAGAAAUGGGUUUUUUGUGGUCUUGAGUCACACUGAGGCAGUCAACUGCCUGUGACUCUAAUAAACAUAGCCUACCUUUUGUAAAAAAAA